rnacentral:rRNA from 1 species
CUAUCAGCUUGUUGGUGGGGUAAUGGCCUACCAAGGCGACGACGGGUAGCCGGCCUGAGAGGGUGACCGGCCACACUGGGACUGAGACACGGCCCAGACUCCUACGGGAGGCAGCAGUGGGGAAUAUUGCACAAUGGGCGGAAGCCUGAUGCAGCGACGCCGCGUGAGGGAUGACGGCCUUCGGGUUGUAAACCUCUUUCAGCUCUGACGAAGCUUUUGUGACGGUAGGAGCAGAAGAAGCACCGGCUAACUACGGGCCAGCAGCCGCGGUAAUACGUAGGGUGCGAGCGUUGUCCGGAAUUAUUGGGCGUAAAGAGCUUGUAGGCGGUUUGUCGCGUCUGCUGUGAAAGCCCGGGGCUUAACUCCGGGUCUGCAGUGGGUACGGGCAGGCUAGAGUGUGGUAGGGGAGACUGGAAUUCCUGGUGUAGCGGUGGAAUGCGCAGAUAUCAGGAGGAACACCGAUGGCGAAGGCAGGUCUCUGGGCCAUUACUGACGCUGAGAAGCGAAAGCGUGGGGAGCGAACAGGAUUAGAUACCCUGGUAGUCCACGCCGUAAACGUUGGGCGCUAGGUGUGGGUCCCAUUCCACGGGGUCCGUGCCGCAGCUAACGCAUUAAGCGCCCCGCCUGGGGAGUACGGCCGCAAGGCUGGGACUCAAAGGAAUUGACGGGGGCCCGCACAAGCGGCGGAGCAUGCGGAUUAAUUCGAUGCAACGCGAAGAACCUUACCAAGGCUUGACAUACACCGGA